rnacentral:rRNA from 1 species
CGACAGCAAUAUGAAGGUCAGGCUGAAGACCUUACCCGAUUAGCUGAGAGGUGGUGCAUGGCCGUCGUCAGUUCGUACUGUGAAGCAUCCUGUUAAGUCAGGCAACGAGCGAGACCCACGUCCACAGUUGCCAGCAUACCCUCCGGGGUGAUGGGUACACUGUGGAGACCGCCGCUGCUAAAGCGGAGGAAGGAGUGGGCAACGGUAGGUCAGUAUGCCCCGAAUCUCCCGGGCUACACGCGGGCUACAAUGGUUGGUACAAUGGGCAUCUACCCCGAAAGGGGAAGGAAAUCUCUUAAAGCCAAUCGUAGUUCGGAUUGAGGGCUGCAACUCGCCCUCAUGAAGCUGGAAUCCGUAGUAAUCGCGUUUCAACAGGACGCGGUGAAUACGUCCCUGCUCCUU